GGUAAUGCCGUGCAGACAGGGGCGGUCCUAAGGAGGGUCCAGGAGUUAUCCGGAGUGAUGUGGCGUAAAGGGGGGGGAGGUGGGUGGGUAAGUUGGGUGGGAAAUCUCGUGGCUUAACUGGUGGGGGACGCUCAAGACUGCUCGGCUUGAGGCGAUGAGAGGGGUGUAGAAUUCCCGGUGUAGUGGUGGAAUGCGUAGAUAUCGGGAGGAAUACCAGUGGCGAAAGCGGCACCCUGGCAUUAGCCUGACGCUCAUGUGCGAAAGCGUGGGGAGCGAACGGGAUUAGAUACCCCUGUAGUC
rnacentral:rRNA from 1 species